rnacentral:rRNA from 1 species
GGGCUCAGGGUGGAGCAGAUUCUUAGAGGAGUAACCUGCCCUUAACUCUGGGAUAAGCCUGGGAAACUGGGUCUAAUACCGGAUAGGAGCGUCUACCGCAUGGUGGGUGUUGGAAAGAUUUAUCGGUUUUGGAUGGACUCGCGGCCUAUCAGCUUGUUGGUGAGGUAAUGGCUCACCAAGGCGACGACGGGUAGCCGGCCUGAGAGGGUGACCGGCCACACUGGGACUGAGACACGGCCCAGACUCCUACGGGAGGCAGCAGUGGGGAAUAUUGCACAAUGGGCGCAAGCCUGAUGCAGCGACGCCGCGUGAGGGAUGACGGCCUUCGGGUUGUAAACCUCUUUCAGUAGGGAAGAAGCGAAAGUGACGGUACCUGCAGAAGAAGCACCGGCUAACUACGUGCCAGCAGCCGCGGUAAUACGUAGGGUGCGAGCGUUAUCCGGAAUUAUUGGGCGUAAAGAGCUCGUAGGCGGUUUGUCGCGUCUGUCGUGAAAGUCCGGGGCUUAACCCCGGAUCUGCGGUGGGUACGGGCAGACUAGAGUGCAGUAGGGGAGACUGGAAUUCCUGGUGUAGCGGUGGAAUGCGCAGAUAUCAGGAGGAACACCGAUGGCGAAGGCAGGUCUCUGGGCUGUAACUGACGCUGAGGAGCGAAAGCAUGGGGAGCGAACAGGAUUAGAUACCCUGGUAGUCCAUGCCGUAAACGUUGGGCACUAGGUGUGGGGACCAUUCCACGGUUUCCGCGCCGCAGCUAACGCAUUAAGUGCCCCGCCUGGGGAGUACGGCCGCAAGGCUAAAACUCAAAGGAAUUGACGGGGGCCCGCACAAGCGGCGGAGCAUGCGGAUUAAUUCGAUGCAACGCGAAGAACCUUACCAAGGCUUGACAUGUUCUCGAUCGCCGUAGAGAUACGGGUUCCCCUUUGGGGCGGGUUCACAGGUGGUGCAUGGUUGUCGUCAGCUCGUGUCGGGGAGAUGUUGGGGUUAAGUCCCGCAACGAAGAACCCUCGUUCCAUGUUGCCAGC